UUUGACUUGAAUAGUAUAGUGAAUAGUAACCUGAAACACAAAAAUUUCGAGAACGUCGAAUUUAACACGUUAGAACUAGGUAAAUGUGAAGCUAAAUUUAUUUUGGAUUUGUGUUAAGUUCUAGUACUGAAACAUUGUAAAAUUGUGUGUUUCAGUUGAAAAGAAUAUCGGGAAGGAACCCGAGGAACCGAGUCGAGGCUAAGGGACGACUCGCUUGAGAUACAGAGACUAGAGGAGCAGCAGACUGAGCUGCUAAAGAUUGAGGAUCAUUCAGCCUAAAGUCUUCGAGUAUAAUUUAUACCUUAAUUGUAAAUAUUUCUUUUGAUGUAUAUAUUGCACAUAAAUGUAUGGACAUGUAAAAAUGGGUUUUGAGCAGUUGUAUAAAAUUUGUAUAAAGUUGUAAUA